rnacentral:lncRNA from 1 species
GAAACAAGGCCUGUCUCUAAGAUGGGGUGACUGGUCAAAACAUGAAGCUCAGCACCCUGGAGGCAAUUUUUCUUUUCAUCCUUUCCAUCAGAACCCUGAAGUUACUCUUCUCAGUGAGUGGAGAGGCAAUGCUUUAAGAAUGCUGUAUUAAAGAUCAUGCCAACGGAGAAGCAGUCUCAUGGUGGCCUGCCCAGUGAACCAGACUUAGAGAACAUUUUUUUGUUUUUGUUUUGUUUUAUUUUUGCUACCAGGAACUACAAUGGUCAUACAGGUAGAGCUGUUCAGAAAUGUAACAAGGAAAGGACAGCCAUCUGAGCAGCCACCACCUUGGUCUAUGGACUGUACCUGUGAGGAGAGGCAACUAGGGGACCAGAUGAUAAAGCUCCACCAAGUCUCUUCAAGGCUUCGUGGUUCUGUGCUGAUUUACCUCAUCACCAUGCCAAGAAACACCAGCAUUGUCUCAGCAGCUGUGCCUCUGGCCAGUGCUGUUGGUGAUCAUGCUUCUGCCAGGGGGCUGCACUGCCAGUCUGGACAACUUUUCCAAAGCUACUUUUGAUGCCAUCUCCAAAAUCUGCCACCACCUGCACCCCUGAUGCCUGCAAAGACAUAGUAUUCCCCAAGUCACCUUAUCAAGAAUUCACCAACGAUCUUCUUAAAACCCGCACCAGAGUCUACAGACAAAAGACCAGGGCUCCAGCCAUG